rnacentral:rRNA from 1 species
UACGGGGGGGCAAGCGUUGUUCGGAAUUACUGGGCGUAAAGGGCUCGUAGGCGGCCAACUAAGUCGAACGUGAAAUCCCCGUGGCUCAACCAGGGAACUGCGUCGAGACUGAUUGCUCGAAUCCGGGAGAGGGAUGUGGAAUUCCAGGUGUAGCGGUGAAAUGCGUAGAUAUCUGGAGGAACACCGGUGGCGAAGGCGGCAUCCUGGACCGGUAUUGACGCUGAGGCGCGAAAGCCAGGGGAGCAAACGGG